GGUGGUCACGGGCGGUCGAUGUGGUACUGAUCGUUUGAUCAUAUUUACGCGGUGCGUAGAGAACAUGUGCUCCUUUUUUGUGUGAAUUAACGAUCACUAAGCCCUGGGUCCUGUGCAAUGCUAUUAGCUCGCUGUAUGUUUCUUGCGGUGCGCCGUUGUUGAUUAUCGUAGUGCGGUCCACACGCGCUUCCUUUGUGCCCGGCUCAUGAGAAGUGUUGUACUCUCGCCGCUCCCGCAUCGGCUCACAGUGCACGGAAGAAUGUGUUGAUAGUUGUGCUAUCGCGUGCUGUAGUUCACCGCAAUUCAACACUACGCUGGACGGACUGUUGGUGCAGUCGAUGCGGCGUGAACGGACACGAAGGAGCGCUCGCCUCAGAAGGUAAGUCCGGCGCCUAGCGCAUUCUUAUGGUUCAUGUAGUGUACCUUGUCAUGCGCAGCAGAAGAUGAUUAGUACAGCUACAAAAACAGUGACAGUGAUUCCCUAAUGUUCGUUCGAUAUCGUAGUGCACAUUUAGGAAAACGUUUCACGAAAAUUACCCCGAGAUUGAUGUUGUUAAGAGCUUCAUCUAUUGUUUAUUUUCUUUUUGUUAUGAAGUAUGCUAGCGCCGGGGCAUCGCUUGGUCUGAACGGGCACAAAAAUUCAAGCAGGGAAUGUCACUGCUUCUGGAUGUCACAAUUUCCUGAGACGGAGGCAUCUCUGCACCACAAAGGAGACUGCGGCACUAUGCAGCCAGAACAGCACGACAAAGCAUCUGAUCUGCCUGCUUUGACAAGAUGUGGCUGGGCCUGCAGAAAGAGUGUAAGCGCACUACUGUGUUGCUGAUCAGUGCUGGUGCUGAUCUCUACGUCUGAGUUGGCCUCACAACGUCCAGGCGCCACUGUGCUUUGCUUCAUUGACAAGGUGUGGCUGGGCCUGCAGAAAAGCUGUAAGCAGACUGCAGUGUUGCUGAUCAGUGCUGAUCUCCACGUACGAGUUGGUCCCACAAUAUCCAGGCACCACGGUGCUUUCACAAGGUUCACAAUCCAAAUGGGUUAUUUAUUUGUGCUAGCAAGUGGAUGUGGGUAAACCAAGCCAAAACGGACAGCACGUUUGCCAGGGAGAUUGCCCAAUGCUUGCGGCAGGCACAUGAAUUAAUCCACAGGAGUGUUACGAGCAAAAUAUGUAUGCGAAAGCUAAAGGAAGGUGGUGAGGCCAAGCCAGCGUUGACACCACAAAAACUUGGUGCAUAUCUAAAGGCAUACGAGCACUUUGUUUCAAAAACGCCAAGCACCGUGGAUACAGAGGCAAGGAGGCUGAAGGACCUGAACAAGCACCUGGCCACCAUGCUUCGGGAUGCAAAAUAAAGAUGGUUUGUGUUAA